rnacentral:rRNA from 1 species
CCUACGGGUGGCAGCAGUGAGGAAUAUUGGUCAAUGGACGCAAGUCUGAACCAGCCAUGCCGCGUGCAGGAAGACGGCUCUAUGAGUUGUAAACUGCUUUUGUACGAGGGUAAACGCAGAUACGCGUACCUGUCUGAAAGUACCGUACGAAUAAGGACCGGCGAACUCCGUGCAAGCAGCCGCGGUAAUACGGAGGAUUCAAGCGUUAUCCGGAUUUAGUGGGUUUAAAGGGUGCGUAGGCGGUCGGAUAAGUUAGAGGUGAAAGCCCGGGGCUCAACUUCGGAAAUGCCUCUGAUACUGUUCGGCUAGAGAGUAGUAGCGGUAGGCGGAAUGUAUGGUGUAGCGGUGAAAUGCUUAGAGAUCAUACAGAACACCGAUUGCGAAGGCAGCUUACCAGGCUACUUCUGACGUUGAGGCACGAAAGCGUGGGGAGCAAACAGGAUUAGAUACCCGGGUAGUC